rnacentral:misc_RNA from 1 species
GUAUUGUAUUGCGUUAAACGCGGCGCACAUUCCAUAAGACUUUGCAACGGUGUAUGUGUAAAGACGUAGAACCACAGAAGGAAGACGGCGUGUCCCCCAGACCAUAGAACUACAGAGGGUGCACAGGUGUGAGUGGAUGUGUAAACAGAGCGUGCACAUGCCCCCAUACAGGGACCAGCAACAACUCUUGUUGACAAUUCGGUAAUGAUCCUUCCGCAGGUUCACCUACGGAAA